rnacentral:rRNA from 1 species
AUUGAACGCUGGCGGCAGGCCUAACACAUGCAAGUCGAGCGGAUGCAGGGAGCUUGCUCCUGGAUUCAGCGGCGGACGGGUGAGUAAUGCCUAGGAAUCUGCCUGGUAGUGGGGGAUAACGUCCGGAAACGGGCGCUAAUACCGCAUACGUCCUGAGGGUGAAAGUGGGGGAUCUUCGGACCUCACGCUAUCAGAUGAGCCUAGGUCGGAUUAGCUAGUUGGUGGGGUAAAGGCCUACCAAGGCGACGAUCCGUAACUGGUCUGAGAGGAUGAUCAGUCACACUGGAACUGAGACACGGUCCAGACUCCUACGGGAGGCAGCAGUGGGGAAUAUUGGACAAUGGGCGAAAGCCUGAUCCAGCCAUGCCGCGUGUGUGAAGAAGGUCUUCGGAUUGUAAAGCACUUUAAGUUGGGAGGAAGGGCAGUAAGUUAAUACCUUGCUGUUUUGACGUUACCAACAGAAUAAGCACCGGCUAACUUCGUG